rnacentral:rRNA from 1 species
CCUACGGGAGGCAGCAGUGGGGAAUAUUGGGCAAUGGAGGCAACUCUGACCCAGCAACGCCGCGUGAAUGAUGAAGGUCUUCGGAUUGUAAAGUUCUUUUUUAAGGGAAGAAGAAAGUGACGCUACUUUAUGUAUAAGCAUCGGCUAACUACGUGCCAGCAGCCGCGGUAAUACGUAGGAGGCAAGUGUUAUGCGGAAUGACUGGGCGUAAAGGGUGCGUAGGUGGUUUGACAAGUUAGUAGCGCAACUCCGGGGCUCAACUUCGGAACUACUACUAAAACUGUUGGACUAGAGAGCAGGAGGGGCAAUCGGAAUGCCUAGUGUAGCGGUGGAAUGCGUAGAUAUUA